CUACAGGCUUAACACAUGCAAGUCGAGGGGCAUCAGGAAGAAAGCUUGCUUUCUUUGCUGGCGACCGGCGCACGGGUGAGUAACACGUAUCCAACCUGCCCUUUACUCGGGGAUAGCCUUUCGAAAGAAAGAUUAAUACCCGAUAGUAUAAUGAUUCCGCAUGGUUUCAUUAUUAAAGGAUUCCGGUAAAGGAUGGGGAUGCGUUCCAUUAGGUUGUUGGUGAGGUAACGGCCCACCAAGCCUUCGAUGGAUAGGGGUUCUGAGAGGAAGGUCCCCCACAUUGGAACUGAGACACGGUCCAAACUCCUACGGGAGGCAGCAGUGAGGAAUAUUGGUCAAUGGGCGCUAGCCUGAACCAGCCAAGUAGCGUGAAGGAUGAAGGCUCUAUGGGUCGUAAACUUCUUUUAUAUAAGAAUAAAGUGCAGUAUGUAUACUGUUUUGUAUGUAUUAUAUGAAUAAGGAUCGGCUAACUCCGUGCCAGCAGCCGCGGUAAUACGGAGGAUCCGAGCGUUAUCCGGAUUUAUUGGGUUUAAAGGGAGCGUAGGUGGACUGGUAAGUCAGUUGUGAAAGUUUGCGGCUCAACCGUAAAAUUGCAGUUGAUACUGUCAGUCUUGAGUACAGUAGAGGUGGGCGGAAUUCGUGGUGUAGCGGUGAAAUGCUUAGAUAUCACGAAGAACUCCGAUUGCGAAGGCAGCUCACUGGACUGCAACUGACACUGAUGCUCGAAAGUGUGGGUAUCAAACAGGAUUAGAUACCCUGGUAGUCCACACAGUAAACGAUGAAUACUCGCUGUUUGCGAUAUACAGUAAGCGGCCAAGCGAAAGCAUUAAGUAUUCCACCUGGGGAGUACGCCGGCAACGGUGAAACUCAAAGGAAUUGACGGGGGCCCGCACAAGCGGAGGAACAUGUGGUUUAAUUCGAUGAUACGCGAGGAACCUUACCCGGGCUUAAAUUGCAGUGGAAUGAUGUGGAAACAUGUCAGUGAGCAAUCACCGCUGUGAAGGUGCUGCAUGGUUGUCGUCAGCUCGUGCCGUGAGGUGUCGGCUUAAGUGCCAUAACGAGCGCAACCCUUAUCUUUAGUUACUAACAGGUCAUGCUGAGGACUCUGGAGAGACUGCCGUCGUAAGAUGUGAGGAAGGUGGGGAUGACGUCAAAUCAGCACGGCCCUUACGUCCGGGGCUACACACGUGUUACAAUGGGGGGUACAGAAGGCAGCUAGCGGGUGACCGUAUGCUAAUCCCAAAAUCCUCUCUCAGUUCGGAUCGAAGUCUGCAACCCGACUUCGUGAAGCUGGAUUCGCUAGUAAUCGCGCAUCAGCCACGGCGCGGUGAAUACGUUCCCGGGCCUUGUACACACCGCCCGUCAAGCCAUGGGAGCCGGGGGUACCUGAAGUACGUAACCGCAAGGAUCGUCCUAGGGUAAAACUGGUGACUGGGGCUAAGA
rnacentral:rRNA from 1 species